rnacentral:misc_RNA from 1 species
UUUCCGUAGGUGAACCUGCGGAAGGAUCAUUAUUGGAUUUUGAAACUUCAGGCUGCUGCUGGCUCUCCUCGGAGGGCAUGUGCACGCUUGUUGUCCAUUAUUUCUCCCACUGUGCACAAAUUGUAGACCUUUCAGUAGGCCUAUGUUGUUUUUCACAAUCUCUGAAUGUAAUAGAAUGGUUUUGAAUCUUGGGAAAUACAAUAUAACUUUCAACAACGGAUCUCUUGGCUCUCGCAUCAAUGAAGAACGCAGC